rnacentral:rRNA from 1 species
UACGUAGGGGGCUAGCGUUGUCCGGAAUCAUUGGGCGUAAAGAGCGUGUAGGCGGUCCGGUAAGUCCGCUGUGAAAGUCGGGGGCUCAACCCUCGAAUGCCGGUGGAUACUGUCGGGCUAGAGUGCGGGAGAGGCGAGUGGAAUUCCUGGUGUAGCGGUGAAAUGCGCAGAUAUCAGGAGGAACACCUAUUGCGAAGGCAGCUCGCUGGGACGUAACUGACGCUGAGACACGAAAGCGUGGGGAGCAAACAGG